rnacentral:rRNA from 1 species
AUAACUAGCUGAAAGGUUAGCUAAUGCCGCAUACGACCUACGGGUGAAAGCAGGGGAUCUUCGGACCUUGCGUUAUUAGAGCGGCCGAUAUCUGAUUAGCUUGUUGGUGGGGUAAUGGCCUACCAAGGCGACGAUCAGUAGCUGGUCUGAGAGGACGAUCAGCCACACUGGAACUGAGACACGGUCCAGACUCCUACGGGAGGCAGCAGUGGGGAAUUUUGGACAAUGGGGGCAACCCUGAUCCAGCCAUUCCGCGUGAGUGAAGAAGGCCUUCGGGUUGUAAAGCUCUUUCGCAAGAGAAGAAAACUUGCUAUCUAAUAUAUAGUAAG